ACGGAGGAUCCAAGCGUUAUCCGGAUUUAUUGGGUUUAAAGGGUGCGUAGGCGGACCCUUAAGUCAGUGGUGAAAGUUUGCGGCUCAACCGUAAAAUUGCCAUUGAAACUGAGGGUCUUGAGUGUAAAUAAGGUAGGCGGAAUGUGUUGUGUAGCGGUGAAAUGCUUAGAUAUAACACAGAACACCAAUUGCGAAGGCAGCUUACUGGGAUACAACUGACGCUCAGGCACGAAAGCGUGGGGAUCAAACAGGAUUAGAUACCCUGGUAGUCCACGCAGUAAACGAUGAAUACUAGCUGUAUGCGAUAUACUGUAUGUGGCAAAGCGAAAGCGUUAAGUAUUCCACCUGGGGAGUACGUUCGCAAGAAUG
rnacentral:rRNA from 1 species